rnacentral:rRNA from 1 species
CAGCCGCCGCGGGAAUACGGAGGGUGCAAGCGUUAAUCGGAAUUACUGGGCGUAAAGCGCACGCAGGCGGUUUGUUAAGUCAGAUGUGAAAUCCCCGAGCUUAACUUGGGAACUGCAUUUGAAACUGGCAAGCUAGAGUCUUGUAGAGGGGGGUAGAAUUCCAGGUGUAGCGGUGAAAUGCGUAGAGAUCUGGAGGAAUACCGGUGGCGAAGGCGGCCCCUUGGACAAAGACUGACGCUCAGGUGCGAAAGCGUGGGGAGCAAACAGGAUUAGAUACCCCUGUAGUCCCUGUCUCUUAUAC